AUGGUCUACUGGUUGUCCGUUUUCACCUUCCCUGACUGGGUCCGCCGUGAGAUCGACCGCCUCCGCCGAGCCUGGCUCUGGCACGGCAACGACUCCUGCCACGGUGGGCAUUGCAAGAUUGCAUGGGCCAAAAUAUGCCGGCCAAAGGAGCUCGGGGGCCUGGGGAUUUUGGACAUCAACCGCUUCGGCGCGGCUCUGAGACUACGCUGGCUCUGGCUCCAGCGCGCGCCGGGCGACAAGCCUUGGCAGGGCUUCCCCAUCCCCUGCUCCAUGGACGACCGCAAACUCUUCGCGGCGGCCACUCGGGUGUCCCUCGGCAAUGAGGAGCGCGCCCUCUUCUGGCACGACGCCUGGCUGGAUGGGGCCGCCCCGCUACUGACCGCGCCCAGCCUGUUCGCU
rnacentral:rRNA from 1 species